rnacentral:rRNA from 1 species
GACGAACGCUGGCGGCGUGCCUAACACAUGCAAGUCGAACGGAAAGGCCCUGCUUUUGUGGGGUGCUCGAGUGGCGAACGGGUGAGUAACACGUGAGUAACCUGCCCUUGACUUUGGGAUAACUCCAGGAAACUGGGGCUAAUACCGGAUAGGAGCUCCUGCUGCAUGGUGGGCGUUGGAAAGUGUCGGCGGUUGGGGAUGGACUCGAGGCUUAUGAGCUUGUUGGUGGGGUAGUGGCUUACCAAGGCUUUGAAGGGUAGCCGGCAUGAGAGGGUGGCCGGCGACCUGAGGACUAAGGGACGGCGCAGACUCCUACGGGAGGCAGCAGGCGAGAACAUUGCACAAUGGGCGGAAGCCUGAGGCAGCAACGCCGCGUGCGGGAUGACGUCCUUCGGGUUGUAAACCGCUGUCGCCUGUAACGAAGCGUGAGUGACGGUAAUGGGUAAAGAAGCACCGGCUAACUACGUG